GCACUUGUAGCUCAAUGUUAGAGCGCCGGUCUUGUAAGCCGGAAAUAGGGGUUAAAAUCCCCUCUUCUGCU
rnacentral:tRNA from 1 species